rnacentral:rRNA from 1 species
AUUGAACGCUGGCGGCAUGCCUUACACAUGCAAGUCGCACGGCAGCACGGGAGCAAUCCUGGUGGCGAGUGGCGAACGGGUGAGUAAAGUACCGGAACGUGCCCAGUCGUGGGGGAUAACGUAGCGAAAGUUACGCUAAUACCGCAUACGAUAUAUGGAUGAAAGCGGGGGAUCGCAAGACCUCGCGCGAUUGUAGCGUCCGAUAUCAGAUUAGGUGGUUGGUGGGGUAAAGGCUCACCAAGCCGACGAUCUGUCGCUGGUCUGAGAGGACGACCAGCCACGCUGGGACUGAGACACGGCCCAGACUCCUACGGGAGGCAGCAGUGGGGAAUUUUGGACAAUGGGCGAAAGCCUGAUCCAGCCAUGCCGCGUGCAGGAUGAAGGCCUUCGGGUUGUAAACUGCUUUUGUACGGAACGAAAAGGUUUGGCCUAAUAAGCUGAGCUCAUGACGGUACCGUAAGAAUAAGCACCGGCUAACUACGUGCCAGCCGCCGCGGUAA